rnacentral:rRNA from 1 species
GAUGAACGCUAGCUACAGGCUUAACACAUGCAAGUCGCGGGGCAGCAUGGGGGUUGCUUGCAAUCCCCGAUGGCGACCGGCGCACGGGUGAGUAACGCGUAUCCAACCUGCCCUUCACCACGGGAUAACCCGGCGAAAGUCGGACUAAUACCGUAUGUUGUCCAUUGACGGCAUCCGAUUUGGACGAAAGGCUUGGCGGUGAGGGAUGGGGAUGCGUCCGAUUAGCCAGACGGCGGGGUAACGGCCCACCGUGGCUACGAUCGGUAGGGGUUCUGAGAGGAAGGUCCCCCACACUGGAACUGAGACACGGUCCAGACUCCUACGGGAGGAAGCAGUGAGGAAUAGUGGUCAAUGGGCGUAAGCCUGAACCAGCCAAGUAGCGUGCAGGAGGACGGCCCUAUGGGUUGUAAACUGCUUUUAUGCGGGGAUAAAGUGGCCCACGGGUGGGCUUUUGCAGGUACCGCAUGAAUAAGGACCGGCUAAUUCCGUG